rnacentral:rRNA from 1 species
CCCUUAGAUGUUCUGGGCCGCACGCGCGCUACACUGAUGCAUUCAACGAGUCUAAAACCUGGUCUGAUAGGGCUGGGUAAUCUUUUGAAUGUGCAUCGUGAUUGGGAUAGAUGAUUGCAAUUCUUCAUCUUCAACGAGGAAUGCCUAGUAAACGCAAGUCAUCAGCUUGCAUUGAUUACGUCCCUGCCCUUUGUACACACCGCCCGUCGCUCCUACCGAUUGAAUGUUCCGAUGAAUACCAUGGACUGAGAGUAUGAACGGGUUCGCCUAUUUCUGCUUCUCGGGAAGUGGAGUAAAUCUUAACAUUUAGAGGAAGGAGAAGUCGUAACA